AGACAGCAGUAGCCGCGGGAAUACGUAGGUGGCAAGCGUUGUCCGGAAUUAUUGGGCGUAAAGGGCUCGCAGGCGGUUUCUUAAGUCUGAUGUGAAAGCCCCCGGCUCAACCGGGGAGGGUCAUUGGAAACUGGGAAACUUGAGUGCAGAAGAGGAGAGUGGAAUUCCACGUGUAGCGGUGAAAUGCGUAGAGAUGUGGAGGAACACCAGUGGCGAAGGCGACUCUCUGGUCUGUAACUGACGCUGAGGAGCGAAAGCGUGGGGAGCGAACAGGAUUAGAUACCCCGGUAGUCCCUGUCUCUUAUAC
rnacentral:rRNA from 1 species